UACAGAGGGUGCAAGCGUUAAUCGGAAUUACUGGGCGUAAAGCGCGCGUAGGUGGUUCGUUAAGUUGGAUGUGAAAUCCCCGGGCUCAACCUGGGAACUGCAUUCAAAACUGUCGAGCUAGAGUAUGGUAGAGGGUGGUCGGAAUUUCCUGUGUAGCGGUGAAAUGCGUAGAUAUAGGAAGGAACACCAGUGGCGAAGGCGACCACCCUGGACUGAUACUGACACUGAGGUGCGAAAGCCGUGGGGAGCAAACAGG
rnacentral:rRNA from 1 species